rnacentral:rRNA from 1 species
GUCCACGCCUUAAACGAUGGAUGUUCGGUGUCGGUCCGCAAGGAUCGGUGCCUGAGCCAACGCGUUAAACAUCCCACCUGGGGAGUACGAUCGCAAGGUUGAAACUCAAAGGAAUUGACGGGGCCCGCACAAGCAGUGGAGAAUGUGGUUCAAUUCGAUGCAACGCGAAGAACCUUACCUGGGUUUGAAAGGCAAGUGACAGGCGAUGAAAGUCGCUCUCGUAGCAAUACGCACUUGUACAGGUGCUGCAUGGCUGUCGU